rnacentral:rRNA from 1 species
UACGUAGGGUGCAAGCGUUAAUCGGAAUUACUGGGCGUAAAGCGUGCGCAGGCGGUUGUGUAAGACAGAUGUGAAAUGCCCGGGCUUAACCUGGGAACUGCAUUUGUGACUGCACGACUAGAGUGUGUCAGAGGGGGGUAGAAUUCCACGUGUAGCAGUGAAAUGCGUAGAUAUGUGGAGGAAUACCGAUGGCGAAGGCAGCCCCCUGGGCUGACACUGACGCUCAGGCACGAAAGCGUGGGGAGCAAACGGG